CCUGACUUCUAAGGGGUGUUAUUAUUUGUGAUUACGCCAAACAGCCUAGAAUUAUAUCAGUACAACAUCACAUUUUUCUUUUCUGUUUGCAGGAAGAUUUGGUGUUGAUGGAGGAGGCAACAUCUUCAAGGCAAAACCUUAGACCUGAUGCAACAUCAUCCAGUGUCACAAUCACCCUUUAGGAGGCACUUGAAGACCAGUGCCCAAUAUGCACAGGAACAUUUCCAGUGUCAGAAGUAGACCUGCCAUGCCAGAUUUUGUGGAAACAGGUCGAAAUCCCCUCUGACCUCAAGAUUUUCUUCUGGAAGUGUUCUGGACGCGUUUUUGUUUUCCCUUUGCUUCACUUAGAGUCUUUCAUGUUGAGCAGAAGUUAAUUUCUCUGUCUCUGUUUCUCUGUUGCACUUGAUACAGAAUCUCUGGGUGAGCGUCACCAGCUGUG
ensembl:lncRNA